rnacentral:rRNA from 1 species
GACAGAGGGUGCAAACGUUGUUCGGAAUUACUGGGCGUAAAGCGCGUGUAGGCGGCUCUGCAAGUCGGAUGUGAAAGCCCUCGGCUCAACCGAGGAAGUGCACCCGAAACUGCCAGAGCUAGAGUCUCGGAGAGGAUCGUGGAAUUCUCGGGUGUAGAGGUGAAAUUCGUAGAUAUUCGCAAGAACACCCAGUGGCGAAGGCGGCUCACUGGCCCGGUACUGACGCUGAGGUGCGAAAGCUAGGGAGCGACGAGGA